UGGGGGAUAGUUUAAUGGUAGAACUGCGGUCUCUGACACCGUCGGUCCUGGUUCGAGUCCAGGUCCCCCAGCCA
rnacentral:tRNA from 1 species